rnacentral:rRNA from 1 species
UAGCCCAAGAGAUCGGGAUAACACCUGGAAACAGAUGCUAAUACCGGAUAACAACAGAUGAUGCCUAUCAACUGUUUAAAAGAUGGUUCUGCUAUCACUCUUGGAUGGACCUGCGGUGCAUUAGCUAGUUGGUAGGGUAACGGCCUACCAAGGCGAUGAUGCAUAGCCGAGUUGAGAGACUGAUCGACCACAUUGGGACUGAGACACGGCCCAAACUCCUACGGGAGGCAGCAGUC